GGGCGGGGCGUGCCUCCCGCAGGGGUUACGAACGAAAGGCGAGCGCGUGGCGCUCAGGAGCCCGCGCACGCGCUGUGGUCUCGCCCCGCCCAUGAGCGUCCGCGCGGCCGUCGUAGCAUCUUUUCUUCAGACCCGCCCGGCUCGUCUACUUAACCUAGCGGAGGCUUGGAGUGAGAGCAGGGAAGUCGGGUCCAUAUGGAAUAUUUGCUGGUAGGGAUGCCUCCAGAGGACUGGCCACAUUUUGCCUAGAUAAAGAUGCACUUAGAGAUGAAUAUGAUGAUCUCUCAGAUUUGAAUGCAGUACAAAUGGAGAGUGUUCGAGAAUGGGAAAUGCAGUUUAAAGAAAAAUAUGAUUAUGUAGGCAGACUCCUAAAACCAGGAGAAGAACCAUCAGAAUAUACAGAUGAAGAAGAUACCAAGGAUCACAAUAAACAGGAUUGAACUUUGUAAACAACCAAAGUCAGGGGCCUUCAGAACUGCAAUUCUUACUCCCUUUCACAGACUGUCCGGAGUCUUUGGGUUUGAUUCACCUGCUGCGAAAAACAUUCAACAAAUUGUGUACAAGAUAAAUUAAUCUCACUAUGAAGAUUUGAAUAACUAGACAUUAUUUAUGCUGCCAAACUCAUUUGUUGCAGUUGUUUGUAAUGUCUAGUGGGGCUUCAUCAUCCUGAAAAGAAGGAGACAGGGAUUUUUUUAAAGAGCAAGAAAGUCACAAUAUUACUUCUUUCCUUCCUUUUUUCCUUCUUUCCUUUCUUCUUUCUCUUUCUUUCUUUUUAAAAUAUAUUGAAGACAACCAGAUAUGUAUUUGCUACUCAAGUGUACAGAUCUCCUCAAGAAACAUCAAGGGACUCCUGUGUCACAUACUGUGUUUUUAUUUUAACAUGGGUGAGGGAGGCGACCUGAUCAGGGGAGGUGGGGGUACACAUCAAUUUGAGUUGUUCAGGCUACUGAAACAUUAAAAUGUGAAUUCCCAAACUUUUCUUUUUGGCUUUGUCAGGGAAAAGAAAAAUAUCUUUAUAAAGAAAUCUUUGGAAAUUAGGAGAAGGAAUUUCAGGUGGGUUUAAGUCAGAGCUAGUUCCCCAACAGAAAGAUCAUUUGAAACCAGUUUUUAUCCCUUCUCUUUCCUUCCCUUUCCCUAAAUCAAA
rnacentral:lncRNA from 1 species